rnacentral:tRNA from 1 species
AAUUAAUGAACUUGUAUAAGUAUAUGAUUUGAAAUCAUAAAAAAGAAGUAAAGUCUUCUAUUAAUUU